rnacentral:rRNA from 1 species
GACGAACCGUGCGAACGUUAUUCGGAAUCAUUGGGCUUAAAGGGCGCGUAGGCGGCGGUGUAAGUUGGAAGUGAAAUCCCAUCGGCUCAACCGUGGAAUUGCUCCCAGUACUGCAUCGCUCGAGGGGGAUAGGGGUUUGCGGAACGUACCGGUGGAGCGGUGAAAUGUGUUGAUAUCGGUGGGAACGCCAGUGGCGAAAGCGGCGAAACUUGACCCUUCCUGACGCUGAGGCGCGGAAAAGCUAGGGGAGCAAACGGG